CUCGUGAGACAGGUUAGUUUUACCCUACUGAUGAAGCGUUGUUGCCACAGUAAUCCUGCUCAGUACGAGAGGAACCGCAGAUUCAGACAUUUGGUUCAUGUGCUUGGCUGAUAAGCCAAUGGUGCGAAGCUACCAUCUGAGGGAUUAUGACUGAACGCCUCUAAGUCAGAAUCCCGCCUGGAAAGCGACGAUGCAUUCGUGCCUCGGCCUCGAGAGGCGUAGCUAGACGGCCGCGUGGCCGUGGAAAGAGCCCGAUUCCGACCCGAGAGGCCGCGGCAAGAGGCGGCCUCGAAGUCGGUGGAUCCUCCUGCUCGAAAGGCGGGGUGCUAAACCAUUCGCAGACGACCUAGUUGAAGAUCGGGUUGUCGUGAUCACUAGAGCAGUACAUCUCACUGCGAUUUGUUGAGAGUAAGCCUCAAGAUCUGUCGGUUUGU
rnacentral:ncRNA from 1 species